CCAGGCUGGCCUUGAACUCACAAAGACUCUGCCUCCCAAGUGCUGGGAUUAAAGGCAUAAAGCACAUGUGGCAGGUCUGGAUAGUCUUCCGGUUUUUCAAGACUUCUUGAUCUGGCCAAUAAGAACACUUUCUUCAUAGGCUGAGAAUAGUCAGAAGGAAUGUCAUUAAGCACAGGGUACACUGGUUCGUGCAGCUUCUUUGAGGGCAGAAAUCUCUCAGGAAUCAAGGAAUCAUGCUUACUUUGAAUGUCAACAUGAUACAGGUUGAUCAUGCCUAAUUCAAAAACUGGAAAUCUGAAAUGCUCCAGUUCCAAAAGAUUUGGAGAACCAUGUUGACUUUAAAGAAGUUCAGAUUUGCAGAUUAGAAUGAAACCAAUGACAGCAAAGCCAAAGAGGGAUGGUGCAUGCACACCUGGAUCCAGAUACAAAUCCCAGGACCAAAAGUCAAUGAAGCAAACCCAGAGGUGAAUGCGGAGCAGGACUGUGGGGCAAAUGAAACAGAAGCAGUAUCUGGUGGCAGGUGACACCGGACCGUAGCCCAGCAAGUACAGUCCUCAUUAGGAGCAGCUCACAGGGGAGUAUCCGAUGACAGACAGAGGUGAUCCAGGUGCCUAGUCAAGCAAGAUCCCAGUCCCAGUCCUUCAGGACCUCUCUUGGGUCCUUCAUAUUUUGAAAAAGAAGAUUCCUGUGAAAGCCACAUCAACACCACAUUAGUAUUUUUACAGAAAGAGCUCCACUUGUACAGCCAAUUUGAGAGGAUGGGAAGAUCUAGUAUCAUUUCUGCAGACUCUCAGAGGAAUUUGUGUUCCAAGGUAAGGAAACCCUAGAAGCAGCCCGUCUUGGCAGCCCACUGUGGCAGGCAUCUCCCUUCCUUCUACAACUAUGAAAGGACUGCAGUUGAGUGACAGAGCUUUAUGGGGGCUGAGGAAGCAAAGAGAAGAGAAUGAAACGGAAAGACAGUCUCCACGUAACUGAGUCACCUGGGGAGAGUCAGCCACUAGAAGUCAAUCUUCACUGGGGUUCAUGUGCACCAGACAGAAGAGUGCCCAGAGGAGUGUCAUCUGUGAGCAAGAGUAGAUGACAGCUGGUAGGAUAUGAGCCAAUGUCUAAGAGGAGUCAACAUGAGUGUGAAACCACCACGGUGGAAAAGCAGGAAGGAGGCGAGGUAAUUUACCUAGGUCACUGUUGGGGAAUCUGCAGCCAGCCAGCCAUGAAGCCUCAAGAUCUUUCAGUUACAAGCCUGGUUAUUUAUUGUAUCUACUGGUGACAUCAAGAACACUUGCUUUUAAGAAAAGCUUGUUUUGAAGGAGGAAAAUGACCCCUUCUUUAUGAUUCUUAAGGAGCCAAAAUUGUUUGGAAGUCAUAGAACAGAACAAAUUUGGUUCACUGGUGCAGUCUGCAUUGUAAGACACUUCUUCAGAUCUACAUUGGCCAAAGACUUAGGUCCUGGAAACUGUUCUUUGGCUGCAAGUCUUCCAGUCCCAUUUCCUGAAAUCUCUGAAGGCAAUUGUGAGACUGGUAAAGAGAGAACAAUGUGAGUGAAGAGAAGUCAUCGAUGCUCAUGCAGAGACCCAGGACCCAGAAGGACUCCGGUCUCAGCAAUGGGCAAAGAGAUGUAUGACCCUGAGAAGGAAGAAAAGCUUGGGCCACAGGAACAAUGCACGUGAAGGGUAACUGAAAUAUCCACAGAAAGAUUUAAAUUCCCGAAAAUUAUAUAGUCAUCUCUUAUAUGCAUACUCUAUGCAUUUAAUAGGUAUUAAUAUGUGUGUAAUAGGAUAUGCAUAUAGUAUUAUGAUAGGAUAACCAGAUUCCUAGCUUCAGAUGCACCUCAUUGGAGGCUGUUAAAGGAUUCUCUGCUGAACAAAAUUGUUCUUCUCAUCCAGUUCUUUCCUCCUGCGCCUAAAUGAGAACCCUAAGGGCUAGUUUUUGGUAUUCUUUUGGCAGACACUAUUUCAACAAACAUGUAAUACCAAACAUCUACACUAUAAGUCCUAGAGCCAGACUGAUAAAUCCUCCAUUUCCUGAGCUCUACAGAUGAUAUCAAGCAAUUUAAUAUUGGGUUUAAGGAGACUACUAUAUUGGUAAAGAUGAAUUUUUAAUUCAGAAACGUUAAAAUAUAAAAAUAAGGUUAUCUUAGAAUAGGAUGCUUCUGAGAUAUUCAAAAUGGGUGUCAUAGUAAGACUAUGACUUUAAAUGAGGCUCAUAUCCUGGUUCUGCUGCAUUUAGGUGAGCGUGAACAAGUCAUUUCGACUCCUCGUGUUUCUGAGUUUUCAUCUCUAAAUCAAGGUAGUGAGCACUCUUUCACAGCUUUUUCAAGAGGCCCAAAGUAGUGUUCACAAAGCACAGGCAGCAUCGCAAUCGCCACUGUUUUACAGUAUGGACUAGAGAUUGAACGUGCAAUGGCUGUCAGAACGCAGAGGCCAACUGAGAGAGUAAACUUAGUGAUUAAAAUAUUGAAACUAUGCCUAUGUCUUAAUCUCAGUUUGGUUACCUCUUAGCUAAAUAAACUUGGGUGAAUGUAAUGGUAGGACUUUGAAUCCUUAAAUUGGUUAAUGCAGGCAUUAAGUUAAUUAUUGCAAGGACUGAAUUAAUUAAGCUAGCUAAAAUAAUUGGCUUGUUAUAU